rnacentral:rRNA from 1 species
UACGUAGGGGGCGAGCGUUGUUCGAAGUUACUGGGCGUAAAGCGCGCGUAGGCGGGGGAUUAAGUGAGAGGUGAAAGGCUGGGGCUCAACCCCAUGCAGUGCCUCUCAUACUGGUUCUCUUGAGGGCGGUAGGGAGAAGUGGAAUGGCUGGUGUAGCGGUGAAAUGCGUAGAUAUCCGGAGGAACACCGAAGGCGAAGGCAGUGUCCUGGCUGGUCCCUGACGCUGAGGGGCGAAAGCUAGGGGAGCAAACGGG